GACGUAGGGAGCGAGCGUUGUUCGGAAUUACUGGGCGUAAAGGGCGCGUAGGCGGCCUGCUAAGUCGAACGUGAAAUCCCCGGGCUCAACCCGGGAACUGCGUCCGAUACUGGCAGGCUUGAAUCCGGGAGAGGGAUGUGGAAUUCCAGGUGUAGCGGUGAAAUGCGUAGAUAUCUGGAGGAACAUCGGUGGCGAAGGCGGCAUCCUGGACCGGUAUUGACGCUGAGGCGCGAAAGCCAGGGGAGCAAACGGG
rnacentral:rRNA from 1 species